ACCCAUUGUAUAGUGCUAUGAAAUCUGAUGGCGCUAUAUAAAUAAUAAAAAUAAUAAUUUAGGACCUAAGCAGACUUUAAAGGGGAUCAAAUCAGGAUGAGAGGGGGUAUUGUGCAGGGAUGUUUUAAUAUAAGGGUUGGUUAAAAGGCAGGUGUGUAAGAGAAAUUUAAAUUGGGGCAUAUUUUGUGUGGGUAUGUGGGAGUUUAAAUGACAUGAUGGUAUGUAAAUAGAGGGAUAGUUCUAAGCAGAUUACACACAGUGCUUGUGUGUAUGUGCAAUAUCAAUCACACACACUGACAUUGCAUACAUAGAAACGGACACACUGACACUGACCGUGAACACCCACAUCAAUACAUACUGAAAAAACACACACAAGAACAUCAAUAUACACAAGUACUGACAUUCACUUAUUGAUAUUGUACAGACAAAAACACACAUACCCCGAAACACUUACAUGCACCAAUAUUGCACAAACUAUACUUAUAUUUAUUUAAAAAGCCAGUCACAAAUUUAUAACUUCAAG